rnacentral:rRNA from 1 species
GACGAACGCUGGCGGCGUGCCUAAUACAUGCAAGUCGAACGAGAGCGCCCGGUGCUUGCACUGGUCAAUCUAGUGGCGAACGGGUGAGUAACACGUGGGUAACCUGCCCAUCAGAGGGGGAUAACAUCCGGAAACGGAUGCUAAAACCGCAUAGGUCUUCGAGCCGCAUGGCUUGAAGAGGAAAAGAGGCGCAAGCUUCUGCUGAUGGAUGGACCCGCGGUGCAUUAGCUAGUUGGUGAGGUAACGGCUCACCAAGGCCGUGAUGCAUAGCCGACCUGAGAGGGUGAUCGGCCACAUUGGGACUGAGACACGGCCAAAACUCCUACGGGAGGCAGCAGUAGGGAAUCUUCCGCAAUGGACGCAAGUCUGACGGAGCAACGCCGCGUGAGUGAAGAAGGUGUUCGGAUCGUAAAACUCUGUUGUUAGAGAAGAACAAGUGCUAGAGUAACUGUUAGCGCCUUGACGGUAUCUAACCAGAAAGCCACGGCUAACUACGUG